UUUGAAAGGCCAGCGGUUUGAUAAGUCUGAUGUUAAAGGCUGUGGCUCAACCAUAGUUCGCUUUGGAAACUGUCAAACUUGAGUGCAGAAAGAGAAAGUGGAAUUCCAUUGGGUACGGUGAAUGCGUAGAUUAUGGAGGAACACCGGUGGCGAAAGCGGCUCUCUGGUCUGUAACUGACGCUGAGGCUCGAAAGCGUGGGGAGCGAACAGGAUUAGAUACCCUGGUAGUCCACGCCGUAAACGAUGAGUGCUAGGUGUUGGAUCCUUUCCGA
rnacentral:rRNA from 1 species